rnacentral:rRNA from 1 species
GACGAACGCUGGCGGCGUGCUUAACACAUGCAAGUCGAACGGAAAGGCCUCUUCCGGGGGGUACUCGAGUGGCGAACGGGUGAGUAACACGUGAGUAACCUGCCCUUGACUUUGGGAUAACUUCAGGAAACUGGGGCUAAUACCGGAUAGGAGCUCCUGCUGCAUGGUGGGGGUUGGAAAGUUUCGGCGGUUGGGGAUGGACUCGCGGCUUAUCAGCUUGUUGGUGGGGUAGUGGCUUACCAAGGCUUUGACGGGUAGCCGGCCUGAGAGGGUGACCGGCCACAUUGGGACUGAGAUACGGCCCAGACUCCUACGGGAGGCAGCAGUGGGGAAUAUUGCACAAUGGGUGGAAGCCUGAUGCAGCAACGCCGUGUGCGGGAGGACGGCCUUCGGGUUGUAAACCGCUUUCGCUCAUGACGAAGCUUUGUGUGACGGUAGUGGGUAAAGAAGCACCGGCUAACUACGUG